UACGUAGGGUGCGAGCGUUGUCCGGAAUUAUUGGGCGUAAAGGGCUCGUAGGCGGUUUGUCGCGUCGGGAGUGAAAAUCCAGGGCUUAACUCUGGACUGGCUUCCGAUACGGGCAGACUAGAGGUAUGCAGGGGAGAACGGAAUUCCCGGUGUAGCGGUGAAAUGCGCAGAUAUCGGGAGGAACACCGGUGGCGAAGGCGGUUCUCUGGGCCUUACCUGACGCUGAGGAGCGAAAGCGUGGGGAGCGAACAGG
rnacentral:rRNA from 1 species